rnacentral:rRNA from 1 species
UGCCAGCAGCCGCGGUAAGACGUAGGAUCCGAGCGUUGUCCGGAGUUACUGGGCGUAAAGCGCGCGCAGGCGGAUACGCGCAUCGGCGGUGAAAGCCCCCCGCUCAACGGGGGAGGGUCCGUCGAGAUGGCGUGUCUGGAGGCAGGGAGAGGCCAGUGGAAUUCCGGGUGUAGUGGUGAAAUGCGUAGAGAUCCGGAGGAACACCAGUGGCGAAGGCGGCUGGCUGGACCUGACCUGACGCUGAGGCGCGAAGGCGUGGGGAGCGAACGGGGUUAGAUACCCCGGUAGUCCACGCAGUAAACGAUGGGUACUAGGUGUGGCGGGAGUUGACCCCUGCCGUGCCGGCGCUAACGCAGUAAGUACCCCGCCUGGGGAGUACGGCCGCAAGGCUAAAACUCAAAGGAAUUGACGGGGGCCCGCACAAG